rnacentral:lncRNA from 1 species
AAUUUAUACCUUUGUAGAUUCCUCUUUGCAUAAGCAAAGGCUAAUCACCCAAGGAGAGGGCCUUCAUUCCUUACUUCUUAGAUCCAUGGAUUUGGAUGGAAGAAUAUGUUUCUCCAAGUUCUCAAAAUAGAGAGCCUCUAAGUCUCCACACCAAGGUAAGAUGUGAAGAAGAGAUGAGUGACCUUGGAGGAGAAAGAUUACUAGCUAAUCCCUCCAAGGGGGCCGGCCUCUUAGAGAGAAAAGAGAGAGAUAUGUUCUCUCCAAUUCUCUAAAAGAAACCCUAAAUGA